GACUGAAAUAAAAACGCCGUGUGUAUUCCAGCUCUGGCACAAGCAGGCGACCGUGCUGCAGCGCUGACCUGAUAGUUCUGAACAGAGACAGAGCAUCCAGUUAGCCCCAGCUUGUGCUCAUUACAAGCUCAUGCCUUCAGCUAACAUAUACAAUAGCAUAAAGGCCACUGAGGAGGACACAAGAGGAAACAGUUAAAGCAUUCCUGUACCGGCCUUUGAACUUUGAACGUGUCUGCCAGGCUGGUUCCCAGGAGUCUGACAGCAGACGCUCAGCGAUCAGCCUCUGUCCUCCUCUGCGUGCCAGAACAGCUGGGUGGUCUGGAGAAGAUCUAAAGGCUUCAGCCUGGCUUCUGAGCAGCUGUGGGCAGGGGAGAGGGACAGGAGGGUUAUCCAGGAUGGUCUUCUGGAAAGCUGAGGACUACAAAUGUAUUUUUUCUUAA
rnacentral:lncRNA from 1 species